rnacentral:rRNA from 1 species
GACGAACGCUGGCGGCAGGCUUAACACAUGCAAGUCGAACGCCCCGCACGGGGAGUGGCAGACUGGUGAGUAGCGCGUGGGAACAUACCCUUUUCUACGACAUAGCCCUGGGAAACUGGAAUUAAUACCGUAUACGCCCUACGAGGGGAGGAUUUAUCGGGGAGGGUUUGGCCCGCGUUGGAUUGGCUAGUUGGGGGGGUAAAGGCCUGCCAAGUCGACGAUCCAUAGCUGGUCUGAGAGGGGGAGCAGCCACAUUGGGACUGGGACACGACCCAAACUCGAAGGAGAGGUGGCGGUGGGGACAAUUGGACAAGGGGCCCAGCCUGAUCCAGCCAUGCCGCGUGAGUGAUGAAGGCCUUAGGGUUGUAAAGCUCUUUGAGCGAUGACGAUAAUGACGGUAGUCGGAGAAGAAGCCCCGGCUAACUUCGUG